CAUUGAUUUACUAUCCGUCCAAGUGCCAUUCACCAUAUUCCCAAGCAACCCACCGAAACUGCAAUCUCACCGGACCCCUAUUUCUCCCCUCUCCGAAUUUGCCAGAGAGCGAGGCAAGAAGCAUUCAGCUCAGUGGCCCAAAUUUAUUUGCCAAAUUCACACAGACAACAGAACACACACACGCACACGCACGCCCUAAAGUGGCGCCACAGGGAAGUAUUUUUCUACCCCGAAAAUACACUUUGAUUCUGGAUAAUGGUCAAAAUGUCAAAUGAAUUUAAAUCAUACACCGCCUCGAAUUUGGAGUUAUCCAUCACUCUAAGAAAGCUGGUUACGACGUUUCGCAACACUACGAUGAACUGAACCGAACGCUGUUCAGUAGAGAAGAACUAGUUCUUAUUAAGAAAAUGGAAGCUUAUUAUA